rnacentral:rRNA from 1 species
GACGAACGCUGGCGGCGUGCCUAAUACAUGCAAGUCGAACGAGUGGCGGACGGGUGAGUAACACGUGGGAACCUACCCAUCAGAGGGGGAUAACACUUGGAAACAGGUGCUAAUACCGCAUACCAUCGGAUGUGCCCAGAUGGGAUUAGCUUGUAGGUGAGGUAACGGCUCACCUAGGCGACGAUCCCUAGCUGGUCUGAGAGGAGGAUCAGUCACACUGGAACUGAGACACGGUCCAGACUCCUACGGGAGGCAGCAGUGGGGAAUAUUGGACAAUGGGCGCAAGCCUGAUCCAGCCAUACCGCGUGGGUGAAGAAGGCCUUCGGGUUGUAAAGCCCUUUUGUUGGGAAAGCGGUACCCAAAGAAUAAGCACCGGCUAACUUCGUGCCAGCAGCCGCGGUAAUAC